AGCUAUGAGGCAGACGAAUGAGACGCGUUCCUAGUCGAUGUUGUCAUCAGCAACGUCGACUGAUCUGAUGCAUCCUCUAGUGGCAAGGUCGACCGAUCAGGUUAGAUUUUUUGUUGAAUUAGUGUGUUUUCUUCUCCUCUCUAUGUCUAUGGAUAUGAAAAUCUUCACAUUGAAUUGCCAAUGAGCCAUUAAUCCUCGAGUCAAGUGUGUGGUUUGAGCGUUUAUUAAGCAGCAUAACCCUUUCAUUAUGGCCUUAAUUGAACCCCGUAUUACUGGGAGAAGGUUGAUGAGGUCAUUCAUAGACUGGGAUUUAGUUUUUC
rnacentral:lncRNA from 1 species